UGAUCCUGGCUCAGGACGAACGCUGGCGGCGUGCCUAAUACAUGCAAGUCGAGCGGACAGAAGGGAGCUUGCUCCCGGAUGUUAGCGGCGGACGGGUGAGUAACACGUGGGUAACCUGCCUGUAAGACUGGGAUAACUCCGGGAAACCGGAGCUAAUACCGGAUAGUUCCUUGAACCGCAUGGUUCAAGGAUGAAAGACGGUUUCGGCUGUCACUUACAGAUGGACCCGCGGCGCAUUAGCUAGUUGGUGGGGUAAUGGCUCACCAAGGCGACGAUGCGUAGCCGACCUGAGAGGGUGAUCGGCCACACUGGGACUGAGACACGGCCCAGACUCCUACGGGAGGCAGCAGUAGGGAAUCUUCCGCAAUGGACGAAAGUCUGACGGAGCAACGCCGCGUGAGUGAUGAAGGUUUUCGGAUCGUAAAGCUCUGUUGUUAGGGAAGAACAAGUGCGAGAGUAACUGCUCGCAC
rnacentral:rRNA from 1 species